rnacentral:rRNA from 1 species
UGGGGAAUAUUGCACAAUGGGGGAAACCCUGAUGCAGCGACGCCGCGUGAGCGAAGAAGGUUUUCGAAUCGUAAAGCUCUGUCCUAUGGGAAGAUAAUGACGGUACCAUAGGAGGAAGCCCCGGCUAACUACGUGCCAGCAGCCGCGGUAAUACGUAGGGGGCAAGCGUUGUCCGGAAUCACUGGGCGUAAAGGGUUCGCAGGCGGAAAUGCAAGUCAGUUGUGAAAGGCAGAGGCUCAACCUCUGUAAGCAAUUGAAACUGUAUUUCUUGAGAUGUGGAGAGGCAAGUGGAAUUCCUAGUGUAGCGGUGAAAUGCGUAGAUAUUAGGAAGAAUACCGGUGGCGAAGGCGACUUGCUGGACACGAACUGACGCUGAGGAACGAAAGCGUGGGUAGCAAACAGG